rnacentral:rRNA from 1 species
AUUGAACGCUGGCGGUAGGCUUAACACAUGCAAGUCGAGCGGAGCGGCGGACGGGUGCGUAAUGCCUAGGAAUCUGCCUCGUAGUGUGGGAUAACGUACGGAAACGGGCGCUAAUACCGCAUACUAUCAGAUGAGCCUAGGUCGGAUUAGCUAGUUGGGGGGGUAAAGGCCUACCAAGGCGACGAUCCGUAACUGGUCUGAGAGGAUGAUCAGUCACACUGGAACUGAGACACGGUCCGGCCUCCUACGGGAGGAAGCAGUGGGGAAUAUUGGACAAGGGGGGAAGGCCUGAUCCAGCCAUGCCGCGUGUGUGAAGAAGGUCUUCGGAUUGUAAAGCACUUUAAGUUGGGAGGCGUUACCAACAGAGUAAGCAACGGCUAACUUCGUGCCAGCAGCCGCGGUAAUAC